rnacentral:rRNA from 1 species
UAGCCUGAGAAAUAGCUACCACUUCUACGGAGGGCAGCAGGCGCGCAAAUUGCCCAAUGUCAAGAAAAAACGAUGAGGCAGCGAAAAGAAAUAGAGCCGGCAGUGCCAAUGGCAUUGCCGUUUUCAAUGGGGGAUAUCUAAACCCAUCCAAAAUCGAGUAUCAAUUGGAGGGCAAGUCUGGUGCCAGCACCCGCGGUAAUUCCAGCUCCAAAAGCGUAUAUUAAUGCUGUUGCUGUUAAAGGGUUCGA